CCGAUAUAGUUCAAUGGUAGAACGCUACACUUGUAAUGUAGAUGCUAUUGGUUCGAGUCCGAUUAUCGG
rnacentral:tRNA from 1 species